rnacentral:rRNA from 1 species
ACGAUGAUGCCCAGCUUGCUGGGCGGAUUAGUGGCGAACGGGUGAGUAAUACGUGAGUAACCUGCCCUUGACUCUGGGAUAAGCCUGGGAAACUGGGUCUAAUACUGGAUACUACCUCUUACCGCAUGGUGGGUGGUGGAAAGGGUUUUACUGGUUUUGGAUGGGCUCACGGCCUAUCAGCUUGUUGGUGGGGUAAUGGCUCACCAAGGCGACGACGGGUAGCCGGCCUGAGAGGGUGACCGGCCACACUGGGACUGAGACACGGCCCAGACUCCUACGGGAGGCAGCAGUGGGGAAUAUUGCACAAUGGGCGGAAGCCUGAUGCAGCGACGCCGCGUGAGGGAUGACGGCCUUCGGGUUGUAAACCUCUUUCAGUAGGGAAGAAGCGAGAGUGACGGUACCUGCAGAAGAAGCGCCGGCUAACUACGUGCCAGCAGCCGCGGUAAUACGUAGGGCGCAAGCGUUGUCCGGGAAUUAUUGGGCGUAAAGAGCUCGUAGGCGGUUUGUCGCGUCUGCUGUGAAAGCCCGGGGCUCAACCCCGGGUCUGCAGUGGGUACGGGCAGACUAGAGUGCAGUAGGGGAGACUGGAAUUCCUGGUGUAGCGGUGAAAUGCGCAGAUAUCAGGAGGAACACCGAUGGCGAAGGCAGGUCUCUGGGCUGUUACUGACGCUGAGGAGCGAAAGCAUGGGGAGCGAACAGGAUUAGAUACCCUGGUAGUCCAUGCCGUAAACGUUGGGCACUAGGUGUGGGGGACAUUCCACGUUUUCCGCGCCGUAGCUAACGCAUUAAGUGCCCCGCCUGGGGAGUACGGCCGCAAGGCUAAAACUCAAAGGAAUUGACGGGGGCCCGCACAAGCGGCGGAGCAUGCGGAUUAAUUCGAUGCAACGCGAAGAACCUUACCAAGGCUUGACAUUCACCGGACCGCCCCAGAGAUGGGGUUUCCCUUCGGGGCUGGUGGACAGGUGGUGCAUGGUUGUCGUCAGCUCGUGUCGUGAGAUGUUGGGUUAAGUCCCGCAACGAGCGCAACCCUCGUUCUAUGUUGCCAGCACGUGAUGGUGGGGGACUCAUAGGAGACUGCCGGGGUCAACUCGGAAGAAGGUGGGGAUGACGUCAAAUCAUCAUGCCCCUUAUGUCUUGGGCUUCACGCAUGCUACAAUGGCCGGUACAAAGGGUUGCGAUACUGUGAGGUGGAGCUAAUCCCAAAAAGCCGGUCUCAGUUCGGAUUGAGGUCUGCAACUCGACCUCAUGAAGUCGGAGUCGCUAGUAAUCGCAGAUCAGCAACGCUGCGGUGAAUACGUUCCCGGGCCUUGUACACACCGCCCGUCAAGUCACGAAAGUUGGUAACACCCGAAGCCGGUGGCCUAACCCCUUGUGGGAGGGAGCCGU